rnacentral:rRNA from 1 species
UACAGAGGUGGCAAGCGUUGUUCGGAAUUACUGGGCGUAAAGGGCGCGUAGGCGGUUUCGUAAGUCCUGUGUGAAAUCCCCCGGCUCAACUGGGGAACUGCACAGGAAACUGCGAGGCUUGAGUUCGGGGAGAGGGAAGCGGAAUUCCGGGUGUAGCGGUGAAAUGCGUAGAUAUCCGGAGGAACACCGGUGGCGAAGGCGGCUUCUUGGACCGACACUGACGCUGAGGCGCGAAGCCAGGGGAGCAAACGGG